AUUGAACGCUGGCGGCAGGCUUAACACAUGCAAGUCGAGCGGGGGAAGGUAGCUUGCUACUGGACCUAGCGGCGGACGGGUGAGUAAUGCUUAGGAAUCUGCCUAUUAGUGGGGGACAACAUCUCGAAAGGGAUGCUAAUACCGCAUACGUCCUACGGGAGAAAGCAGGGGAUCUUCGGACCUUGCGCUAAUAGAUGAGCCUAAGUCGGAUUAGCUAGUUGGUAGGGUAAAGGCCUACCAAGGCGACGAUCUGUAGCGGGUCGGAGAGGAUGAUCCGCCCAACUGGGACUGAGACACGGCCCAGAGUCCUACGGGAGGAAGCAGUGGGGAAUAUUGGACAAUGGGGGGAACCCUGAUCCAGCCAUGCCGCGUGUGUGAAGAAGGACUUAUGGUUGUAAAGCACUUUAAGCGAGGAGGAGGCUACUCUAGUUAAUACCUAGGGAUAGUGGACGUUACUCGCAGAAUAAGCACCGGCUAACUCUGUGCCAGCAGCCGCCGUAA
rnacentral:rRNA from 1 species